CGGGGCCGAGCUGCGAAGGAGAGUUGGUCGCUCCGGCUCUGCCUGGCUCGCGCGGGGCCGUUGGCGCCUCUCCCGGGGCCGGAGAAGGGUGUGUGACUGAGAUCAGGGCUCCUAUCGUACUGAUCGUGGCUCUGUUGUGACACCUGCUGAAGAGACCCCAACUGAGACCUGGGCCCUGUUCUGCCAGGCACUGAAGAGACCCCAGGUGAGAUCAGACCCCACUGUUGUGCCAGGCUACAGAAUAACGUCCACGUUUUGCUCCAGAUCCUCCCAUCCUCCCAGGGGGAAGGCAAUGGCUGCAGUGGAGCUGGCUCAGUAGGGUUUCCAGUUUCCAAACCUGAUGUGAUCUCCCAGGUGGAAAGAGGGGAAGAGCUGUGGGUCCCAGACCUCCAGGGCUCUUAGAAAGAAGUGCUUCCAAGAGCUGCCUGCACAGGGAGUGAUCUAUGUCUGGAUUCUCUCUGUCUCCCAUCAGGAGAUGAGAUGGUGAGUCAGAAUGAGGAGGAGAAACCCCAUCAGGAAGAUGCUGAGCAAGGAGAACCACAUGGAACUUUAUCAGGAAGAUCCAAAGGGAAUGUUUCCGGGAGUUGUGCACUCUCAGAAAAAACAAAAGCCUGUUUGACUCUGCACAGGCCAGAGGGAAACUUUAGUAGCCUCUCCGACCUUGUAACAAGCAACAGAAUCAACUUGGAAGAGAGACGCUACACGUGCCCUGAGUGCGGGAAAAGCUUUAGUUGGCACUCACACCUUAUCAGACAUCGGAGAAGCCACACAGGGGAGAAGCCCUACACAUGCUCUGAGUGCGGGAAAAGGUUCAGUCAUUGCUCAAGCCUCAUUAGACAUCAGGAAAUCCACAUGAGAGAGAAUUGUAAUAAAUCCCUUGACUAGGGUUGGCCAAAAAAGUAAAAAAAAAAAAUCACAUUUACUAAUUCCCACAAAGUGAUUUUUGCAUCAUCUUCACCGUGGUCUCUCAGCUCCACCAGAUAAGUUGCCGCCUUCUGCCUUUUGCAGCUCAUCCUUCUUUGGGGUCAGUCCUGUGAUCUUUUCUAUCAUCUCCUUUCCUUUUGAGUCAUAGGAGUGUGUGUCCCUCCUGCCAGGAAUGUUCAUCAGCUCCGGGUGCGGGGGAGAGAGGUUUGAUCCCAACAAGCUACACUGAGGCAAAAACUACCUGUGCCUUCCAUCCACUAGGACUGUACAUGGCGUUAACUGCUCAGGUUAGUGAUCUUAAUGUAAAAAGUUGUAGUGCAGAUGCAGCCCAGGUGCAGUGGUUGGCAUUAGCUUCCCCCUUGGCCUGACCUAAACUCCAUCACUUUUCCUAGUCUAAACUAACCCUGAGCAUCACGGUUAUCCUGUUCCCCCAUUUCAAAGCAAUUGUUAGUCAUCGAGUUCUCCCUUGGGGAACAAAUUGUUUCAUUCCCAGUUGCUCUGACGUUGCUUCAGGUUGGGCUGGAUAGCAGAUAUUUUUAUUAUUUUCUGCACUUAAAAUAUAUUGAACUAUAACAAAGAGCUGGAACAGGGCAGGGAUAGGGAAAAAUGUCAUUUCACCCAUUGUAACAACAGACGUAGUAAGGGUAAGUCAGAGGGAUUCCCUUAUUCCCCAUCACUCUCCUCCUUCAAUCCAUGCUAGAACCUAAGAAUCCUUUUCCUUUCCCCAGUUGUGGGAUGGGAGACUUCCAAAAGUGCUCCCUGUGCUAUAGCACAUGGCUAAGCUCAGAGAAUAAACCCCAAAUCUCCCCUGAGCUUUGCUUUUUGAAUUCUGUAUUUCCGAUUACUUCAAGCCUGGGCAUUGUGAUUAUUUACCAGUUUCUCUAGCACUGUUCCUACCACUGUUUCUGUAACAUUUUUUGUUUUUUAUGGGACAGGGUUGUUAUUUCUUUGCCUAACCCCAACCUGGAAGGCCAGGGUGUCUGUUUUCUCUGGCCCCUCCCCAUAGACAAUUCUGACAUGGUUGAACCUGCCAGGAGCAAACAAAAAGCCCCACCGGUCACACACACAAAGCAGACAGACACACACAAGACACAGAAGAAACUGAAUUAUUUGAGCUAUCAGCAUUUCCACUUUCCCACAGCGUGUUAGUUCUGAAGGUUGUUUUAAUUUGUUUCUUUUCUUGGAACCAGAACUGGGGAAAGAGAACACUGGAGUCAGUGGAAUUACAGCAGGAAGGGAUAAGUCUCAUGAUUCAUCACUAACCAAAGGCUUUGUAAACAGAGCGAUAAUGUUACUGAGUGGUCUGGCUAACCCUGCAGUUAGAAACAAUCAGCUCUAUGGAUGGUAAAUUUACAGAGGCUCUGCUUCUGAUCAUGAAAUAGCAGCUGUUGAAAGGUAAUGUGCUUCUAUUUCAAUGCCUCUGGAAGUACAGAAAACAAUGAUCUGUGUUAAUGGAAAGUUGCCAUUUCUCAGAGCCCCAAUUUCUAUUGUGUGUGUACAGGAAGAUUUGAAAGUAUAGCAGGUAGUUUAGUAAAACUUAGCUAUUUUAUGUGUGUAACAGGCUCCUGCCCACCUCCAGCAGAGGUUUCAGUCACAUACUAUGGCAACUUACCGAAUGUCACGCAAAUUAGUCUGUUCCUCCCCAUAGUCAGUCUCUGACGGGAAUGUUAGAAUGAGGCAGAGAACUGGGAAAGUAUCACACAGUAGGAAUACAUUAAAAAGUGGGAUUAAUCAGAGCUGGGGUGCAGACAGAGCCUGUUCUACAGCUGGUGAAGUGACAGGGACACACUCCCCCUAGUGCUGGCUCUGAAAUAACAGCAGAAGCAGAUCGAAGAGAAUGAGCUCAUAUGGGAGCUAUGGGCAGCUGCCCUGUCAGUGCAUCACUCACCUGGCAGGUGUUACACAAAACACAGCAC